AGAGUUUGAUCCUGGCUCAGAGCGAACGCUGGCGGCAGGCUUAACACAUGCAAGUCGAGCGGGUGUAGCAAUACAUCAGCGGCAGACGGGUGAGUAACGCGUGGGAACGUACCUUUUGGUUCGGAACAACACAGGGAAACUUGUGCUAAUACCGGAUAAGCCCUUACGGGGAAAGAUUUAUCGCCAAAAGAUCGGCCCGCGUCUGAUUAGCUAGGUGGUGAGGUAACGGCUCACCAAGGCGACGAUCAGUAGCUGGUCUGAUAAGAUGAUCACCCACAUUGGGACUGAGACACGGCCCAAACUCCUACGGGAGGCAGCAGUGGGGAAUAUUGGACAAUGGGCGCAAGCCUGAUCCAUCCUUGCCGCGUGAGUGAUGAAGGCCCUAGGGUUGUAAAGAUCUUUGGCGCGGUAAGAUGAUGACAGUACCGCAAGAAUAAGCCCCGGCUAACUUCGUGAAGCAGCCGCGGUCAUACAAAGGGUGCUAGCGUUGCUCGGAAUCACUGGGCGUAAAGGGUGCGUAGGCGGUUCUUUAAGUUUGGUGUGAAAUCCUGGAGCUCAACUCCAGAAUUGCCUUUGAUACUGAGAUCUUGAGUUUUCUUAGAGGUGAGUGGAACUGCGAGUGUAUAGGUGAGAGUCGUAGAUAUCGCAAGAACACCAGUGGAGAAGGCAGCUCACUGGCCCGAUACUGACGCUGAUUACGGAAGCGUGGUGAGCAAACCGAUACAUAUCCUGCUAGUCACCCGUAACAAGAUGCAGCCGUUAGUGGGUUACUCACUGUGGGCAGCUACAAUAUCAUUCCUGCUGGGGAAUACGGCGCAGAUAGACUCAAUGAAUUGAAGGGGGCCCGUACAGGCGAGGAAUAUGAG
rnacentral:rRNA from 1 species